rnacentral:tRNA from 1 species
GCGGCCAUCGAUCAAUGGUAGGUCUACUGUCUUCCAAACAGAUGAUGUCGGUUCAAGUCCGACUGACCGCA